rnacentral:lncRNA from 1 species
GCCGGAGCCAGAGCCAGAGCCUACGAGAGCCGGAGCCAGAGCUCGAGCUAACAACUACAACUAAAUGCAUUUUGAUGUUCCGAGACGUAUGGGACAUCGUUGAAGAAAAAACAUGCACAUUCGAGGCAAGUGCAAGUGUUUCGACGGGAGAAUACAAGGGAUCAUGGAACAAAGACGACAUAAAAGGUAUGGGACAAACUACAAGAAAAUUUCAAGGUAUGUCCGAUACUUUACAACACAAGUCUGGAUUAUCCCGAAAAUGGAUCAAGGGGGAGUGUUGGAAAUUGGUGAUCCAUUUUCAACAAAAUCUAGAAGUUACUAGCUUAAUGGAGAAUGAACUUGAAGACACGUGAAGAAGCCUCAAGCUGAUCAAGAAAAGGAAGGGGCAAACAAUAAAAUAAUAUUAUAGUAGUUGCUGGAGUUUUCAAGAGAACAAGCUCUACGUGCAUGGGAAAUUUGUGCAUGGGAAAUCUUGAAUGAAAGUCAACAAUGGCUGAAAAAACAAAAACCAUUUUUUUUUUUUUUUUAAAAACAGAACUUUUAUUAUGAAAGUAAGUAUUACAAAGGAAGGAGUUUAAUAAAUUUUGUGAAGAUAAAGGAAUUUUCAUCUCGCAAAAGAAAUAUACCGAAAACCUCCUAAAGAAAAUUUCAAGGUAUGUCCGAUACUUUACAACAGAAG